AAUUAUUUAUUCUAUGUGGACUUAACAUUAAUUUUUUAUUACGUUAAAGUAAAACGGGCUGAUGUUAUUAGUUGGCGGAUAAGAAAAAGGCCGUGUAUUCAUGCGAAUUCCAUAUGGACCUGUAUCCAUUUCAUGUUAUUGGUGUAGGCCUGUAAAUAUAGGCCUAGGUCCCCUCUCCCGGCUUUAACAUAAGACGUAUUCUCAUUAGCUGUCAGCCGUCAUAAGCAAAGGAGAAGAAGACUUAGCCUAGUUCAUCUUUGGUUAUGUGUUGCAAUAGCGGACAAAAGUCUGCACCUUUCCUCUCGCAUAUUUGUUUCUUUAUAGGUGUUCUUGAUUUAUGUGAACUUGUGGUAUCUUUCUCUAUAAAUUCUAACAAUAAGGCCAUAUAUUUUAGGUAAAUAAUUGAAUGUCAUACAAUUAUUUUUUAGGCCUAACCCAUACGCAGCCCCCUUAAGUACGCCCCAUUCUUCAGUUAAACACCUCAAGUAGACUUUGUUCCAUUUUGGCACCUCAAGUAGGUAUAAAAGGUGCCACUUUGACACUUUUUGCUGAGUUGUCAAUUUAUCUGAUUUUCACCUCAACUAGGCGCGUAAACUUGUCUGAUUUCCAACUUUCUUCAGUUUUCUUCUUUCUUUCUUCUUUUUCUCUUUAUUCUCUAUUUAACAUUCUACCAUUAAUAAAUUAUCCACCAUUGUUAAUUGUUCAAUCAAAACAAUAAGACCACCAUUAUUCUCUUAAAAUAAAUGACACUUUUCUUUUGCGUAAAAUCAGAAUCAAAAAUAAAUUUUAAGUUCUUGAAGAAGUGGAGAAGAUGAUGUUAAUGGUGUGCUUGAAAAAUUUUGUUGAAAUUGCCUAUUAUUUGCUUGAAAAGAUUAAUGGUGUUAUUUGAUGUUAUUAAUGGUGUUAUUAUUUGCUUGAAAAAAAAUGUUAUUAAUGGUGUACAAAAAUGGAGGGGCAGCAGGGGUGUUUUGGAGUGAGAGGUUAUGGUGUUUGGAGAAGAUGGGUUUGGUGCCUGCCAUGAAUCAUCACAAAGAGGAGGAAAUAAAUUUUGUGUGUGUUUAGUGAAGGUCCAUCAAUGGCUUCCUUGUUGAAAUUUGAAAUUUCAAGAAUUUAGAAUUUUAGUGGCUGGAGGCGGGUUAGAUAAACAAUGUUGGGGGUGGGGUAUGGGGUGGAAGGGAUGGCACUUGUAAUUCCUCGUCAUUAAAGCUUUCGAAAAGAGUUAUG
rnacentral:lncRNA from 1 species